CGGGGUGUAGGUCAUCGGUAGACCGCUGCGUUUGGGACGCAGAUGUAGAGAGUUCAAUUCUCUCCACCCCGA
rfam:Candidatus Daviesbacteria bacterium RIFCSPHIGHO2_01_FTLL_40_11 rifcsphigho2_01_scaffold_1371, whole genome shotgun sequence.